rnacentral:rRNA from 1 species
CCUACGGGAGGCAGCAGUGGGGAAUAUUGCACAAUGGGGGAAACCCUGAUGCAGCGACGCCGCGUGAGUGAAGAAGUAUCUCGGUACGUAAAGCUCUAUCAGCAGGGAAGAAAAUGACGGUACCUGACUAAGAAGCCCCGGCUAACUACGUGCCAGCAGCCGUGGUAAUACGUAGGGGGCAAGCGUUAUCCGGAUUUACUGGGUGUAAAGGGAGUGUAGACGGCAGCACAAGUCUGGAGUGAAAUCCCGGGGCUUAACCCCGGAACUGCGUUGGAAACUGUGCGGCUUGAGUGCAGGAGGGGUAAGCGGAAUGCGUAGUGUAGCGGUGAAAUGCGUAGAUAUUAGGAGGAACACCGGUUGCGAAGGCAGCUUACUAGACUGUAACUGACGUUGAGGCUCGAAAGCGUGGGGAGCAAACAGGAUUAGAUACCCGAGUAGUC